CGCAAUUUCUAGUUGCUAUAGCUCCUUCGCAGCUGGAUUCUAGAACAAAAGCAGAAGAGUCAAAAGCAGUCUAAAGGAUACCGGCAUACCACCAAGGACCAAGAGUUGUUUAAAAGCUGAAAGAGGAUGGUGUCAAAGCAAGUGCUGCAGCUUGUAGCCUAUACUACUAAGAUACUACUAGGAGACUACACUAUAGAGUGUCUAAAAUAAGGAGGGACCAGGAGUUAUUUAAAAGCUGAAAGAGGAUUGUUUCACGACCAGACUCGACUAGAGUAAAGCAAGUGUUUUUCUAGGCAUUGACGGAAAAAGGCUAUGGUUAUUUGUGGAUAUGAUGACUUUGACGAGCUGUAUAUAGUUCCAACCCAGUGGACAGGCUUCAGCACCUUGUUCAUGUUGAGUGUAGCUUCUCAGUAUUAUAUAAGGAACUGGUUGAAGUGACUGCCCCGGCCUGCCUACUCAUUUUGUGUUGCUACAAGCUGAUGAGUCAUAUAGAGAGUAGAAUCUCUCUUAGCUCCAGACAUCCAGUCCUGUGUUACUAAUAGUAGCUCACAAAACUAUUGGAAGUGCUUACAAUCUCAAGGAUAGCUUCAGCGGUGAUGCAAAAGGCUUGCAAAGGCUAUUUUCCAAGGUUGAUUUUCUCCCAAAUCAUGUAUUGGAAAAAAAUCGGUUUAGAAUGAGGCUAGACUUCAAUCUUGUUACGUAACGGUUCACGUGACAGGUACUUUCGCUCUAGACAUUGCAAAUGCAAGAACUCUGAAAACCGCUGUAUGGGAAAACAUUUCAUCUUGUCCUGGGUUCUUGACCUUUGCUUGGAUUAUAGCAGCUACUGCUUCUGUUGCUCUUGAUCGUUUAUUUGCCUAAUUGGAAAGCUUGAUAUACCUAGAUUUAUCUACUGCAGCAAACCAGAAUACCCUAGCUACAGAAGGUUAAUUUUCCAUAUCAUGUGGUUUCGAAGAAUGCAAUCAAAGGUCAAAGGUUGCAAUUAUAUCUUCUCUCAAGCUGAUUCGUCUGGGGUGCGAUAGCUCAACUCAUUUGUGUUGUGAUUAUAAAGAGGAUGAAGCUAUAGUGGUUGUGUAUAAACCCUGGGGCGCGAGGGUAAACUCAAAACAUAAGCCCACGUGGUGUUUUAAUUAGUGACCUUUUGACAUUGGCGUAUCUCCUCUGCUUGCAGCUACCAUGGUAGUCUUGCGAGCAGACUUGUCCUAGAGGGAACGUCUGGUCACUAUUGCAGCAAUUCCAUGGCACUGUCAAUUCUCCACAAAACACAACCAUAUAGUGAAAGGCAGUGGGUUACAAUUAGCUUAGUUUUCACUCUCAUAUCACACCCACUAAAUGUAUGGAGCAGGUAGUUAGCUUUCCUGCACAUAGCAGAAGUUACUUGUGCAAUAUCAACUUCGUUAUCCAACUUGCGAUGAAGGGUGUGGCCAAGGUGGGUCACUAUGUCUGUAAAUUGAAGAGCAACUCCAUUGAACCUGAAUACUCCGUUAGGUAGUGUCAUCGGACGAUUGCUGAAACAAAUAAGUUGAGUUUUACUGGCAUUAAAAGUUAUAUCGAAUUCAGAGGCAAAUACUUCGCAUUCUUUCAAUAAGAUACGCAUGGCAGAUGGUGAGGGGGCCAGAAGGGCUAUAUCGUCAGCAUAACCAAGUGCACAGACAGAGUGCCCACCAAGUUUGCAACCAAUUCCGAGUCGAGAUAGUCUUUGCAGGAUCGAAGCUCGUCAAUAUAAACUGUGAAAAGGAUUGGAGAGAGAACACCACCCUGACGUACACCGUUCGAAACAUUAAAAGAUGCUGAAAUAUCUGCAUUCCAGCGAACAACUAGUUCUUGGUCCCUGUGCCAUGAGAAGAGAAAUCGCAGCACCGUGGGAGGAAGGUUCCUAUCAAUGAGCAUCUUAAACAGGGUAGUAUGGUUAACUCUAUCGAAAGCUUUGCUGGCAUCUAAAAAACAUCCAUAGUAUUGCCUUGCAGAUACUUAGAGACAACAUUCUUCUGUACUCCAGUGCAUAAUUCAGUGGAAAAUCCCUCUUUGAAGCCAAACUGUAGGUCAGAUGUUAAAAGGUUAGACCUGUAUCUGAGGAGAAUACACUUCUCAAGUAUCUUGCUAAGAUUUGGGGCCAGAGCGAUAGGCCUGUAGCUGUCAGAGACAGAGGGAUCUUUAAGUGGUUUUGGGAUUGGAACAAGUACACAAUCUCUAAGCGCAGAAGGAAUGUAUCCAUGACGAAGGACAGCUGUGAAGAAGGUUGCAAGGGAUGGCGCAAUGACAGAUGCAUGCAGCAAGCACAAAAUGGUUUGAUAACAAAUUGGAGCCGUCAGAUUUGUUACGGCCAAGAUCUUUUAGACAGUGUUCUACAAGUUCCACUGAAAUAUCAACCUCUUCAAUGUCAGAAACCGUUAUCUGAGAGGCCACCUCAUCUAAAAGAACAUUCCCAUGUGUGUAGUAUCGCUGUAGUUCAAGAUGCCAGAGAGCUUUGAACGAAAGCACUCACUGAUCUUCUUGUCAUUGCUGAAACCAUCCACAACUGGGGAAUUGCACUGUUUAGAGCGAGAUUUCCAGAAUAGAGAGUUAUUGGCCGACAGAAGUGCAUUCUCGCUGACAAUGUGUUUUUGUCUCCGCUUGACACUCCUAACUGCAUACUUGUAAGUUUUCUUAGUCUGCUUUCGCAGAUCAAACAAGACACCAGCUUCAGGACAGCCUGCCUCUACCCAUGCAUAUCUUGUUCCAAACCAUGGCAGAUUCUCUUACUUCACGCACGUGAUCAUUCCAUCCAGGCAUUGUUCUAGCUCUUUUGCUUAUGACCGGGAAACAAAGUUUGGAUGCAACAGAGAGACAGGAAAGAAGCUGAUUACAGAACAAAUCAAUUUCCUCGUGGUGUAAUAAACAGCACGUUGAGCCGCAAUUAAGAAGGUCCUGUGACAAAAGUGGUAGAGUUUGAAAUAUAAUUUGUCUGUAAUCCUCAAUAUUAUUUGCACUUAAAACCGACCAAUCGAUACCACAAACGGGCUGUUGAAUAGGACAAUUACUAGUGAGUCUUCUAGAAACAUCGUUGUCCAGUUUAAGCACAAACGCGAGUGGUGCAUGAUCCGAAAAAUUGCUUGGAGAGUGAACACUAUGGACACCACAAAUUAUAUCAGUGUGAUGUUGCAGCGUGAGAAUGUGAUCAGGCCACGACCUGACAGAUUAUUGUUCAAUCAAAGGCUAAUUGCCUGAGCUGCACCGUACGGAAGCCCAUUAGUAUGGUGGUCGACAGGGUCACCCAGAAUCUGGGUGACUCGUUAUACUUUAGCAAACCUUUGUAAAAUUAAACCGUAAACUAGUUUGUUUACUAUAGUUUCUUUCCGUAUUAAUUUUAACAAAUACUUGUCUCCUGUGAAGCUGUGGCUUAUGCUCUCUAUUGCGUUGUCGAGAAGACUUGCUGGCUAGCUGUGGCCCUCUAUGGUGUUGUCGAGAAGGCUUGCACACUAGUCUGGCUGAAGCCAGAAGAAGCUCUCAUUUGUGCAAGUUCAAGACAUCACGACCAUCCAACCAUCAUAGAGGUAGAUGAGAGCCUCUUCUGGUUUCAGACUAGUGUGCAAGCCUUCUCGACAACACCGU